GGAGGAACUGUAGCUCAGUGGUAGAGCAUCUGCUUUGGAUGCUGAAGGUCCAGGUUCAAUCCCUGCCAUCUCCU